UGGGGAAUAUUGCACAAUGGGGGAAACCCUGAUGCAGCGACGCCGCGUGAGCGAUGAAGGCUUUCGAGUCGUAAAGCUCUGUCCUAUGGGAAGAUAAUGACGGUACCAUAGAAGAAAGCCCCGGCUAAUUCCUUGCCAGCAGCCGCGGUAAUACGUAAGGGGCGAGCGUUGUCCGGAAUUAUUGGGCGUAAAGAGUGCGUAGGCGGCAAAUUAAGUCAGAUGUGAAAACUAAGGGCUCAACCCAUAGAUUGCAUCUGAAACUGAUAUGCUUGAGUCAAGGAGAGGAAAGUGGAAUUCCUAGUGUAGCGGUGGAAUGCGCAGAUAUCAGGAGGAACACCGGUGGCGAAGGCGGGUCUCUGGGCCGUUACUGACGCUGAGGAGCGAAAGCGUGGGGAGCGAACAGG
rnacentral:rRNA from 1 species